rnacentral:rRNA from 1 species
CCAAAAACUUAGCCCAGUAACCCAAGCCGACACAUCCCCCAAACUAAAAUAUUUAUUUAACUAAGUAAAGACGAUUAAAAAGUUAAUUGGAGCAAUAAACACGUACCGAAAGGGAAAAGUGAAAUAUUAGUGAAACAUCUUUCAAGCACAAAAUAGUAGAGAUUUUCCCUCGUACCUUUUGCAUCAUGGUUUAGCUAGUCUUAGUCAAGCAAAAAGAAAUUUAGUUUGACCCCCCGAAACUAAGUGAGCUACCUUAAGGCAGCUUAAUGAGCAAACCCGUCUCUGUUGCAAAAGAGUGGGAAGACCUUAAGGUAGAGAUGACAUGUCUAACGAACUUAGUGAUAGCUGGUUAUUUAGGAAAAGAAUCUUAGUUCAACCUAAAGCUUUCAAAAUAUUUUAAAAUGCAAAACUAACUUUAGAGCUAUUCAAACAAGUCACAGCUUGCUUGAAACAGGAUACAGCCUCCACCCGCGGGUAAUAAUAAUUCAUCUAAAUUAAGUGGGCCUAAGAGCAGCCACCUUUUAAAAAGCGUCAAAGCCUAAUUCUAUACACAAAAUAAUUUCACAAGUCCCUUAGAACCCCUAAUCAGUACUAAAUAAUUCUAUACACUUAUAGAACCUAUUAUGCUAAAACUAGUAACAAGAAGAAGCCUUCUCUUAUAUGUAAGUGUAAAUCAAAAUAGAAAGUCUACUGAUUUUUAACAACAAUAAACCACAGUAAUAACUCACUUAGAAAAAUUUACUUUAACAGCUGUUAACCUUACACAAGAACAUAAAAAGAAAGAUUAAAAGAGAAAGAAGGAACUCGGCAAAUUUUGAUUCCGCCUGUUUACCAAAAACAUCGCCUCCUGCUAACCUAUAGGAGGUCCAGCCUGCCCGGUGACCUAGUUUAACGGCCGCGGUAUCCUAACCGUGCGAAGGUAGCGUAAUCACCUGUUUUUUAAUUGAAGACCUGUAUGAAAGGCAUCACGAGAAUCGCACUGUCUCCUUUUUCUAAUCAGUGAAACUAAUCUCCCCGUGAAAAAGCGGGGAUGCCAAUACAAGACGAGAAGACCCUCUGGAGCUUGAGACAAGGUAGUAUUAUGCCCACCUUUUUAAGCCUACUCAUUAGAGCAUUUAUGCUACAAGUCUUCGGUUGGGGCAACCGCGGAGUAAAAACUACCCUCCAAGUUGAAUGGAACUUCCUAAACAAAAAGACACAACUUUAUGUAUCAAUAAAUUGACAUUUAUGACCCAAUAUUUUGAUUAUCGAACCAAGUUACCCUAGGGAUAACAGCGCAAUCCACUUCAAGAGUUCAUAUCGACAGGUGGGCUUACGACCUCGAUGUUGGAUCAAGGUAUCCCAGUGGUGCAGCCGCUACUAAAGGUUCGUUUGUUCAACGAUUAAAACCUCACGUGAUCUGAGUUCAGACCGGAGCAAUCCAGGUCAGUUUCUAUCUGUAAAGAGCUUUUCCCCGUACGAAAGGAUAGAAAAAGCGCGGCCAAUGUAAUGUAUAUGCCGUCCAACGACUUAUGACACUUACUUAACAAGUUCCAUCUAUUAUUUUCCUAGAACAGGGUA